rnacentral:rRNA from 1 species
AGAAAUCGUUAAGGGCGUAUGGCGGAUGCCUAGGCUUUCAGAGGCGAAGAAGGACGUGGUAAGCUGCGAAAAGCUACGGGGAUUGGCACACACGAAAUGAUCCGUAGAUAUCCGAAUGGGGCAACCCAGUAAGUUGAAGACUUACUACACCGUAAGGUGAGCGAACCCGGAGAACUGAAACAUCUAAGUACCCGGAGGAAAAGAAAUCGAAGAGAUUCCGUAAGUAGUGGCGAGCGAAAGCGGAUUAGCCCAAAAGUUUAUAUAUAUUUAGUGGAAUGUUUUGGAAAGAACAAUCAUAGAAGGUGAAAAUCCUGUACACGAAAGGCAUAUAUGGAUGAAGAAAGAGUAGGGCGGGACACGUGAAAUCCUGUCUGAAUAUGGGGGGACCAUCCUCCAAGGCUAAAUACUCCUGAAAGACCGAUAGUGAACAAGUACUGUGAAGGAAAGGUGAAAAGCACUUCGAAUAGAAGGGUGAAAGAGAACCUGAAACCGUACGCCUACAAGCGGUCGGAGCAGUUAUAUACUGUGACGGCGUGCCUUUUGCAUAAUGAGCCUACGAGUUAAUUUUACUAGCGAGGUUAAGGUAUUAAGUACUGGAGCCGGAGCGAAAGCGAGUCUGAAUAGGGCGAAUAGUUAGUGGGAUUAGACGCGAAACCUUGUGAUCUACCCAUGGGCAGGUUGAAGCACUGGUAACACAGUGUGGAGGACCGAACCGGUUGACGUUGAAAAGUCUUCGGAUGACCUGUGGGUAGGGGUGAAAGGCCAAUCAAACUGGGAGAUAGCUCGUACUCCCCGAAAUGCAUUUAGGUGCAGCGUUGAUUUAGUUUAUUAGAGGUAGAGCUACUGAUUGGAUGCGGGGGUUUCACCGCCUACCAAUUCCUGACAAACUCCGAAUGCUAAUAAAUGUUGAUCAGCAGUGAGGGCAUGGGUGCUAAGGUCCAUGUCCGAGAGGGAAAGAACCCAGACCAACAGCUAAGGUCCCUAAAUAUAUGCUAAGUUGAAACAACGCGGUUGAACUGCAUUGACAGCUAGGAUGUUGGCUUGGAAGCAGCCAUUCAUUUAAAGAGUGCGUAACAGCUCACUAGUCGAGCGGUUCGGCAUGGAUAAUAAUCGGGCAUAAGCAUAUUACCGAAGCUAUGGCAACGAAAGUUGGGUAGGGGAGCAUUCUAUCGGCGCAGAAGCAUCACUGUGAGGUGAUGUGGAGCUUAUAGAAAAGAAAAUGUAGGCAUAAGUAACGAUAAAGCAGGCGAGAAACCUGCUCACCGAAAGACUAAGGGUUCCUCAGCCAUGCUAAUCAGCUGAGGGUUAGUCGGGACCUAACGCGAACCCGAGAGGGGAAGUGGAUGGACAAUGGGUUAAUAUUCCCAUACUUGCUCACGAAUAAAGGGGACGGUUCAGCUAGACUACUGGAGACUGACGGAAUAGUCAAGACCUAGCCUACGGGCGAAGUUGUUGUAGAGUAACUGGAUCCAAGAAAAGCCGAAGUGAAGCAACCCGUACCAUAAACCGACACAGGUAGUCGAGGAGAGAAUCCUAAGGUGCUCGAGUGAGUCGUGGCUAAGGAACUAGGCAAAAUAGUCUCGUAACUUCGGAAUAAGAGACGCCAGCAGCGAUGCUGGCCGCAGUGAAGAGGCCCAGGCGACUGUUUAUCAAAAACACAGGACUCUGCUAAAUCGAAAGAUGCUGUAUAGGGUCUGACACCUGCCCGGUGCUGGAAGGUUAAGGAAGGUGCUUAGCGUAAGCGAAGGCAUUGACUGAAGCCCCAGUAAACGGCGGCCGUAACUAUAACGGUCCUAAGGUAGCGAAAUUCCUUGUCGGGUAAGUUCCGACCUGCACGAAUGGUGUAACGAUCUGGGCACUGUCUCAGCCGCGAGCUCGGUGAAAUUGUAGUAUCGGUGAAGAUGCCGAUUACCCGCAACGGGACGAAAAGACCCCGUGAACCUUUACUAUAGCUUUGCAUUGGAUUUGGGUAACAAAUGUGUAGGAUAGGCCGGAGGCUGAGAAGUGGGCACGCCAGUGCUUGUGGAGCCGCCGUUGAAAUACGGCCCUUUUGUUAUUUGGGUUCUAACUCGCUUGAGCGAGGACAUUGCAUGGUGGGUAGUUUGACUGGGGUGGUCGCCUCCAAAAGCGUAACGGAGGCUUCUAAAGGU